AUGGCGUCGGCGCCGGCCCUGGGGAGGGAGCUGCUGGAGGAGGCGCGGGCGCCGGGGUUCACGGCGUGGCUGCAUGGUCUACGACGGCAGAUCCACCAGCACCCGGAGCUGGCCUUCCAGGAGCACCGCACCUCGGCGCUCGUGCGUGCCGAGCUGGACGCCCUCGCCAUCCGCUACGUCCGGCCUGUCGCGCGCACCGUUGUCGUCGCCACCAUCGCCGGCGUUGCCGGCCCCGGCCCCGUGUUCGCGCUCCGGGCAGACAUGGACGCGCUGCCCAUCCAGGUCAGCAAUAAUGCAAAAUACAGUAAAUGGUCGACAAGGGUGUAA
rnacentral:rRNA from 1 species